CCUCAUCUCUUUUAAAACUACAUUUUAUACUGUAUUUAGUCCAUGUCUAAGUCCGUAUUCCCCAGAUCCGUCAUUGAUGUUCGUCGCCGUCUGCCCUGUCUUCAGUGACUAAACCCUGGUUUCCUUUAUCCUGCCUACCUGCCUUCUCCUUUCCCCGCUUCCUGCUUGCCCAUCCUCCCCGCCGAUCGCAACAGAAUGACGGACCUCCUGAAAGAAGCACUGCGGCGGGCCAAGGACCAGCGCCUUGAUCUACUGCAGGAGGUGCUUUAUUAGCUAAUUCAACUGGAGGUCCAGGAGGACCCAGCAUCCCGGGAUUUGGCCAGCCGGAGCGGGGACCUCCUAAGUGAGGCAGCCCCGCCCGGAGACGCGUACCCCUUGUGGGAGGAGACAUGGAAUUGAGAAGAACCUGGGCCUUGGCGAGCUCUCCACCUUUGAUGAGAAGCUGGUGGCAGAGGCUUUGGGCUUGAAGUUGACGGCCUCCAUCAUGUAAGGGGAGGAUUUAGUGCUGCUCAAGGGCAGCCCCACAAAAAUGGACCGUGACAACCUGGAGCAAAAGUAAAAAGACAGUGCUUCUCACGCAGGCUUUUUGCAACAUUUUCUCUGUUCUGCUUUUCUAAGAUCUAAAUAUUCCUGGAAUGAUGGGAAAGAGCAGGAUCUGGCUGUGGUAACAUCUACUGUCCUCAAAUCUACUUUUAGUAGUCUUACAACCUACUUUUUUGUGUGUUGUUUUUUGGUGUGUCAAACAAAAAACUGAGAGUAAAGUAAAGGUUAAUAUGUAUUCCGUUGCACUGGAUUUAUUUUGAUCUGUUUCGGAUUUUAAGUUUUUAUAAGCUGCCAAACUAAAAAAAAGUUUUCAGAGUA